GAUGAAGAACGCAGCGAAAUGCGAUAAGUAAUGUGAAUUGCAGAAUUCAGUGAAUCAUCGAAUCUUUGAACGCACAUUGCGCCCGCCAGUAUUCUGGCGGGCAUGCCUGUUCGAGCGUCAUUACAACCCUCAGGCCCCCGGGCCUGGCGUUGGGGAUCGGCGGAAGCCCCCUGCGGGCACAACGCCGUCCCCCAAAUACAGUGGCGGUCCCGCCGCAGCUUCCAUCGCGUAGUAGCUAACACCUCGCGACUGGAGAGCGGCGCGGCCACGCCGUAAAACACCCAACUCUUCUGAAGUUGACCUCGAAUCAGGUAGGAAUACCCGCUGAACUUAAGCAUAUCAAUAAGCGGAGGA
rnacentral:misc_RNA from 1 species